GGGUUGGUGACCGCAGGGGGCUGUGUGAACUUGGCACCCGACUUUGGAAAAAAUGUUUUUUUUUGGAUUCAUUUAAUAGAUAUUGGUUAGUAGUUGAUAGUAGUGACAACAACUUUUUUUGUAGUUGUACAAAAAAAAUUUUUUUGGCACCAAAAAAUAUUGCAUCCCCCCACAUUUAAAAUAAAAAAUUUUUUUCUUCGAUUCUUAUAGAGGAACGUUGAUAGAUGAUUGUAGUGCAUUUUGUUUUGUUUUUAGUAAGCUAGAAAAAAAAUAAUUAAAAAUAUAAAAAAUAA